GACGAACGCUGGCGGCGUGCCUAACACAUGCAAGUCGAGCGAUGAAAUUCCUUCGGGGAUGGAUUAGCGGCGGACGGGUGAGUAACACGUGGGUAACCUGCCUCAAAGAGGGGGAUAGCCUCCCGAAAGGGAGAUUAAUACCGCAUAACAUUAGUUUUUCGCAUGAAGAACUAAUUAAAGGAGUAAUCCGCUUUGAGAUGGAUCCGCGGCGCAUUAGCUAGUUGGUGAGGUAACGGCUCACCAAGGCGACGAUGCGUAGCCGACCUGAGAGGGUGAUCGGCCACAUUGGAACUGAGACACGGUCCAGACUCCUACGGGAGGCAGCAGUGGGGAAUAUUGCACAAUGGGCGAAAGCCUGAUGCAGCAACGCCGCGUGAGUGAUGAAGGCCUUCGGGUUGUAAAGCUCUGUCUUUUGGGACGAUAAUGACGGUACCAAAGGAGGAAGCCACGGCUAACUACGUGCCAGCAGCCGCGGUAA
rnacentral:rRNA from 1 species